rnacentral:rRNA from 1 species
AUUGAACGCUGGCGGCAGGCUUAACACAUGCAAGUCGAGCGAGCGGCGGACGGGUGAGUAACGUCUGGGAAACUGCCUGAUGGAGGGGGAUAACUACUGGAAACGGUAUCUAAUACCGCAUACCAUCAUAUUUGCCCAGAUGGGAUUAGCUAGUAGGUGGGGUAAUGGCUCACCUAGGCGACGCUCCCUAGCUGGUCUGAGAGGAUGACCGGCCACACGGGAACUGAGACACGGUCCAGACUCCUACGGGAGGCAGCAGUGGGGAAUAUUGCACAAUGGGCGAAAGCCUGAUGCAGCCAUGCCGCGGGUGUGAAGAAGGCCUUCGGGUUGUAAAGCACUUUCAGCGAGGAGGCGUUACUCGCAGAAGAAGCACCGGCUAACUCCGUGCCAGCAGCCGCGGUAAUUC